AGCUUAGGAAGCAGUAGAGGAGGAAGAGAUAUUCCACGCGAUUUCAUUUAUUUCUAUUUUCUUUCAACCCCUUCCUUUGCGACCGAAUAGUGGGUCUCCUUGGUCAGUCUAGCGACGUCAGCUCCCAAGGGACACGCGCCCGCAACCCCCCUGCUUUUCUCCUCCUCCACUCCACUACCUCACUCCUCCCUCUUUUCCUCCCUCCCUGGAUCCCCUUUCUCGUCAAGCUCACUUGGGACGCCGCCGCUCGCCAUUGCAAUGCCAGCCACAGGGACCGAUGGGAUCCGCCAGGCUUCGGUCCGGAUAGAUGUCCACGCCUCCGGCUCCGACAUGCACGCCCGCGCACUGGACGCCGCCAUAAACCACCUCGUUUAUCUGGCACCAGCGUGCCGGAACCUCUUGAACCCAGGUCGCGUUUCUCCGUUCCGUUGGUCAUCGUUGCGACACCGCCGUGGUCAUCCUCCUCCCCGAGCAGCUCCAGGGACGGGCUCCGCAUCAUCUGUGUCUCCUCUAACCAUAGACUCGAAGCCGUGCGUCCCUCUACUUCUUCCUCGACAGCUGACCGCAAUUGACACCGUCCGGAACUCGUUGUCGUCCGUCCUCUCGGCUCCCUGCUCCGCCCGACCCCGUCACGAACAACAAGACAUCAUCAAUGUCGGUGGCCGCAGCAAUGGACUACGACAAGUGUCCUCUGCCACAUCCCUGUCCACCCGCAUCACUACGACGCUAGGCCAUGCCUCACUAUUUAUAUUCUUCUUGCCCUUUUAUUGUGCCUCUGCUUCUGCUAUUUAUAUUUCAUUCAUUAUUGAUCAUGAAACAUGAUUCAACGUGCUCCCUCCUUAUAAAUUAUACAUGCAACAUGCAUAUUAGCCUCUAUUUCUUUCCUUAUAUUUCCUCGCUCCCUUAUUUCGUUUGAAAAUCCUCUUAAUUGGCCAUUAGCCCACUCUUUCAUUCUAUAGCCUCUCUUCCCUUCCAUAUUUCUCUAUCAUGAUCCCCGAGAUUGCUUCGUGAUACCCAAAAAAUUUAAAGACCUAUAUAAAUUGGGUAGAUUGUAUUUAGUGGAGCAAGGUGGGACCAUUUAUCAUAUGAAUCAAUCUUGUUUUCUACACACAACAUUAGCUAGCCCAGUUGGCUGCGACAUUGUUUAUUGGACUGGAGGUUGAGUUCAAUUCUGCUCAUCGUGAACUAUUUUUGAGACGGUUUGUUUGGGCCACCCGGAUAGUUGGCCUUGUUUUGUUCUUUUUUUCGUCUUGCAUUGUAGCUAUUUCUUUUAUUGUUGGAGAUGAGUGUACCUGAGCUAUCAACAUGGUGAUGUGAUUACUGUUACAUGGAUACUGAAAGUUCUACCAUAUUCAUUAUAUACCUGCAAAGUUACAGGAAGGAACAAGAAUAAUAAGCCAUAUCCAUCCAAGACUCAGGGCCUUCGUGAACCGGUGAGGAGAUGAUCUGCAACUAUACUACUGCGAACAACAAAAUGCUUGAUUAUCUCAGACAUGGGAGAGGGGAUUGAAACAGGUUGUGGGCGAUGGCUAAGACGCGUCCUGGCCAGCCUUGCACAUAGCAGCAUGGCAUGGGGGGGGGGGGGGGGGGGCUGAGGAGACAACGGGAAUAAGCUACUUAAAUGGAAAACCAACAAAAUCAUUUACUUCUGCAGGUAGGUAGAGGAAAGGUAUUUGGUGGAGAAGAUGAAGAGAGAGACCGUCCUUCGGCUGGGGGAAGCUCAAAGGAAGCAAGACUGCAAUAAAAAUCUCUGAAUGCAUUCCAAGCUUCUAUAUGGCAUACCUCGUUUCAAAGGGCAAACUGUCAUUUGUGCACUCGGCUACAUCUGAUGCCUGCGGAAUACCCAAGACCAUAUCUUCUUCAACCAUUUCUUCCCCUAGCUCCAGAAGCCUUUCCAAUGCGCCCUCAGAUUGGGCCCGUAGAAAUGGAACAAUGACUGUACUAUUGCGCCAGUCAUCUCUGUCAUUGCAGUGUGAUCACGCACUCGCUAAUAUAAACAGGUCGGCUAACAGGGGAGCUAGCCCUUCAGCGCAGGUCAGCAGCAGCAACAGUGGGGAUUCAAUUUACAGGAGCUUCCGAGGAGAUAGCUUCCGAGAUAUCUCUGAUCUGCAGGCAGUAGUUUCAGAAACUGCAAUAGACCUAAGGCAUUCUCAUGACCAGGAUGAUCUGAAGCUUCAAAUUGAGAGCAUGAAGGUCAAACUGCGACAUCUUCAGAAGCUUCAUCCUGUUGUCUGUUGACUCCACUCAGAAAUUGUUAGCUACCCAACAACUUGGGUAUCCGUCGUGUCGAGGAUGGAAUUAAGCUUAGAGAGAUUAACCUGAAAGAAGAAAUAGUGAAGAGAUUGGUAAGACAAAUCGAAAGAGAAGAAGAGCAUGCAGCCGAAAGAGAAGCUCAACCUAAACAAAGCUCUUCUGAAGAGGACAUUAAUGAUGAGGGGCCAUUGUGAGGGUCGAGGUUGUAGGAGAAUGACACCAAGGAAGAUGAGCAGGAG